UAGUCUCGCACAGAUGCAUAUCAAUAAGCGGAGGAAAAGAAACUAACAAGGAUUCCCUCAGUAACGGCGAGUGAAGCGGGAAGAGCUCAAAUUUGAAAUCUUGAAAGGUCACCUUUCACGAAUUGUAGUUUAAAGAAGUGUUUUCUGUUACGAUCGUAAUAUAAGUUCUUUGGAAUAGGACAUCACAGAGGGUGAGAAUCCCGUCUAUGAUUGCGAUUUGUAGCUUUGUGUUACACUUUCAAAGAGUCGGGUUGUUUGGGAAUGCAGCCCAAAACGGGAGGUAAAUUUCUUCUAAGGCUAAAUAUUGGCGAGAGACCGAUAGCGAACAAGUACCGUGAGGGAAAGAUGAAAAGAACUUUGAAAAGAGAGUUAAAUAGUACGUGAAAUUGUCAAAAGGGAAGCGUUUAACACCAGUGUUGUUUUCUGAAAAUCAACCUCUGUUAGCUUUAUGCAUGUUUGUUUAGACCUAAUCAGCUAUCUUUCAUGUUCUAUUGUUUGCAGUGGUGCACUUUUCAGUUUACAGGUCAACAUCAGUUUUUUUUACCGUAAAAAGUUAAAGAAAGGUAGCUCAUGGCUCCGGUCGUGAGUGUUAUAGUCUUUUUCCUAUGCGGUAGGAGAGACUGAGGUCUGCAGUAUAGGCUAUUUGGCUAGAUACUCAGGUGCUAUGUGAUACCAUUUCAUAAACAACUUGUUGAUUAUGUUUUGUCUAUUGCAUACUCGCUUGUACUAUCAUACCUACGCUUAGGAUGUUGAGUCGUAGAGCACGCAG
rnacentral:rRNA from 1 species